CGCCGCGGUUAUACGAGAAGCUCAAAUAGACAAGCAAACGGCGUAAAGCAUGGCUAGGAAUCAUUAAAAAUAAAGUAGAACGCCCUCAAAACUGUUAUACGUAUUCGAGGUCAAAGAAAAUCAUAUACGAAAGUGACUUUAUUACACCUGACCCAUGAAAGCCUAGAAA
rnacentral:rRNA from 1 species